CAACGCUUGCAGCGGCGGAAGCUUUCAAAAGGGGAUGUGCCAAUACACUAAUUUUAUAAGCCGAUUCGAAGUUGGUGCUCGUCAAAAACGAAACAUCUUCUGCCGUGUAAUCCGUCACCAUUUUCCCUAUAUUCGUUCCAACGUUAUUUAUCUGCAAAUUUUACGGGUUAAACUGUGAAUUUUUAUUAAUUUUAUAUAAUCAUAGGUUAAAUCCCAUGGGAGGUCCCUGUACUAUAGAGGUUACAUCAAAUUAAUCCCUCUAUUAUUAAAUAGAUCAAUUGUAAUCCCUAUACUACAAAAAGAAUUAAACAAGUCCCUUAAAAAUAAAAAUGUGAUUCUAUAAAGCAAGAAUUAUUAUUAAUUUUUUUAUGAAAUGGAUUCAAAUUACUUCACAAACUCUAAUUAAGAAUAAAUGAAAAGAUCUAGCUUGAAACCUCUCCUCAAAAUUAAAAGAUUCAAUUUAAGUCUUUUUAACUAUUCAUUAAAUGAAAAAUUAAUAAUUUUAUCUCGAUCCCUUAAACAAAAUUUCUAGCUUAGCCCGUAUUUAUUUGAGUCAAUUUGUAAUAUAUAUAUUUAUAUAUAUGGGAGAGAGAUUUACUUACAUAAGUGUAAGACUUAAGUGGUUUUACACAUUUCCAUGAAUUUUUACACAAUUACUUUUUUAAUAAUCCAACUGUCAUGUUUCAUGCUCCAUUUUUUAAGAUCAUGCAUGUCAAGUUUGGCAAAAAUGAAAAUUUUAUAACUAUUGAUUUUAUGUAAAAAACUUUCAACCAUUAAAUAUAUAUUAAUAUAAACAAUAUUUUAUAUAGAUAUGAUAGAGAUAUUGGAUCGAUUAAAAAAUUUACAUGCAUAAUAAGUAUAAAUAUAAUGAUAAAUUUAAGGUUGCGUUGUUAAAUAUUAAUAGUAUAAAAAGUUACAGAAGGAUGUAAAACCAUUUAAGUUUUAUAUCAAUAUAAGUGGAUCUCUUCCCACAUAUGUAUAUAAUGAUCUUUCAUAUUUGAAUAUUAGCAGUAAUUUACCAGGAUGUUAAGCCUUCCAUUGAACACAGAGGAAACAGUGCUUAAUAGAUUUUCCCUUUGAGCUUGAUUCGAAACAUCACACACUGAACCUGUAACUCGAAAACCCUUUGCUUUCCAUUCGAGUAAGCAAUCGUUGAGCUCGGUUUCAGUUCGAGAACAUGUAUGCACAAUGGCUCCAAGUCCAGCUAAUUCCUCCACGAUUGCAUGCCUGAUCAUCGUCGCAUCAACAACAAUACUUGGGUUUCACAUUGACAUUAAAUCAAACACAUAGAAUGCAUAAAAAACCAACACUCUUUUCAUGUAGCAUCAAUAACAAUACUUGGUUUUCACAUUGACAUUAAAUCAAACACAUAGAAUGCAUAAAAACAACAACACUCUUUUCACGUAUAUUUCCACUAAAUUCAUAUCAAAUCACGAAAAGGAGAUGAACCCUUUUCGUGUUGUCUCAUGUUCUGGUUAUUUUUCUCGAAUUUUUAGGGAGUAGGGAGAGGAAAGUACCCGAUGCCUUUGGUACCACCGGUGACAAGUGCAGUCAUGCCUUGAAGACUCCAUCUUUUGUCUUUGCUACACCCCUCUGCUUCUCCCAUUUUGCUUACUUCUCAGCUUCUUCUUCUUUUCUUUGGUCUUUAUAUAGCGGUACACCAUUUUGUAUAUUUUUAUAUGUAGAUUAACUCUCCAAUCUUCAUUUUCGUAUUCCAUUAAGAUAGAUUAUGGACCGUAAAUUAAAAUUUUCUAAUUAUUUGUUUUGUGUAAAAAAUUUUCAACCAUCCAAUUAAUAUUAAUAUAUAAAAUAUUUUAGAUUUAUAUGAUAAAGAUAUCAAACAGGUUUAAAAUUUUACAUCUACAAUAACUGCAAUUAUAUUAAUAGAUUUAACGGUUAGAUGAUUAAAAUAACAAUUGUAGUGUAAAACAAUGUUAAUUUUACACUUUUAUUGUACAUAUGUCGUUAAAAUGUCGAUCCAAAAUAUUUAUUUUUAUUCCAAGAUUUUGUCAAUUAUUUUAUUUAUUUAAUCUUUCUAAAUAUAAUUUAAGUAUACACGACAAAAUUUCAAUUUCACUUGCAAAGUUAAAACUUUCCACUAUCCGUGUAUAAAAUAAUAUGACACUUCAUCAUUGGUGAAAUAAUAAGGAAGGACUUUUAAAUAAAUAUAAAUAAUAUUUAUUUAGAAAUAAAUCCUAAACGUGCUUGUGGAUUGAGCCUUAUACGGUUAACAUUGUUAUUAUUGGAACAACCAAGAAGACGUGGGUCUGAACGCAUGUGUUUUUCUUCGAUUUAAGAUUGAGAGGGCUUAUGAAUAGAAAUAUGUAUUGUAUAAAAAAACAUGAAAUCCUAACCUCAAUAUAAACUCUAAAUCUUAAACUCGAAACUUAAGAGAAAGAAUGUACUAAUUUUAUUUAUAAGUCCUCCACUAUUUUUUGUUUUACUCAAUAAUAACAUAUUGUAAUAUUAUUUACUGACAGUGUAUUAAAUUCGAUACCACGAGUUAACAUGAUACAAAAUGAAUCGAGAAAAAAAUCCAAUUUUUUUUUAAAAAAAUUAAAAACUCUUUUUGUAAUUUGUUUCAUAUCUUUCCAAAAAAAAGAAAAAUGGAGGAGGGUUUAUUUAUUGUAGGUGUUUUACUAUAUGUAUUUGUAGAUGGCAUACAACCAUCCACAUAGUGUAUGUGUUUUACUAUAUAUGUGUGGAUGAUAUGCUGAAAAUGGCAAUCACAUAGUGUAUGUGUUUUACUAUAUAUGUGUGGAUGAUAUGCUGAAAAUGAUUGCCAUUUUCAUAGAAAUCCGAGCUAUACGACCAUGGUAGGUAGCCUGGCUGUUGUUAUUAUCAUAUCAGUGUCGGUGGUGGUUGUUUUGGUUUAAUUAUAUUUGCUUGUACUAUAUGUAUAAGUACUAUUAAGGAUAAAAUUAAAUUUUUUUACGGGCAGAAACUAAAUUAUAAUUUUUACGAUAGUAAAAAUAAUAAUUUUACUAUUUUAAUAACUUAUAUAUCUUUAUAAUUUUUAAAGAAUUAAAUCAAAUUUUUAUAUUUUUAGGGGGAUAAAGUAUAAUUUUACCUGAGUACUACUUAUUGAUUGAUAAGUAUUUUGAUAUUUUAAAUUAAUUUUAAUUUUAAUUUAUUAAAAAUAAUUUUUUGUCUUAACUAUUAUUUUAUAUGAAUAGAUAAUGAAAUAUGAUGAUUGUAUUAUUAAAAUAUUAAUCGUAUAAAAAGUUACGGAAGAGUGUAAAACCAAUUAAGUUUUACACCAGUGUAAGUGGAUACCUCCCCGAUAAAUAGUUAAGUUGACAGAAGGACCUUCUUGACAUGAUAGAGAUAUUUUAAAGACUCAAUAAGAAAGUUUUGAAGUUCUAGGGCCAAUUUAAAAUCUAGACUACAAUUUGAGUACGCCUUGAACUUGACAACCUCUCCAACUUUUGGUCUCUAAACUUUUUUUUGGUCCACAUUAGUCCAUGAACAUGACAUCUUUUCUCAAUCUAGUCCUCAAACUUGGAUUCUGUUAGGGCAUGAUAGCGUACAUGGAACUUUGAUAUUGGUCCAUAAACUUGUAAGUUUAACGUUCUAUACAAUUUUUUAAAUUCUUAGGUGAAGACGUGACACAAUCUUAAAGUGAUACAUCAUCACACCUUAAUUGAACUAAGUUCAUGGACCAAAUUAGAAAAAAAAUACUAAGUUUUGGGGCUGAUAUGGACCAAAAAAGGUUCGAGGACCAAAUUGAAAAAUACCAAGUUCAAAGACUAAAUAUUGCUUUAUCCCAAAAAUAAAUAGAAUACAACAUGUAAAAAAAAUAGAGGGAUUAAUUUAAUAGUAGAGAGACUAACUUGAUCAUGUUCCUAACUAUAAUAGGGGGACCUCUUAGAUACAUUCAACUAUAAACAUAUUAAAGAUAAAAACAUCCUCGUAAUAACAUAACUUUGUAAAAGAAUAGUAUUGAAAACAUACCACUUUAAGGAUAGUUUUGUUCAUUGAUCGGGUUGGGUUAGUUUGUGUAUUGGUUGUAUUUGGGUUAGUACAAGUUUUAAAAUUUUGAGUUAUACAUUAUUUCAAUUUCAAUUUAUUUUGGGCUUGAAUCAUUUAGGGAUAAAGCUCGGGUUUUGCAUGUUGAAUCAUUAUGGAUUUCGGUCCUUUUAGGUUAUUUCAGCUUUGGGCCAAUUUUGGUUCAAAAUGUUGAACUUUUUUAUUGUUAAAUUGAACAUAUUCAAGUAGAAUGGAUCGAGUUUUCAUAUUUGAGUAAAUUUUGAUAAGACUACAAUUGUAAGAUCCAACCUAAAAUAUUAGGCUCAGAAAAUAGGUCUAGACAAAAAAAAUUAGACAUGUUUAAAAUAUGGGAAGUGCUCAAGCUCAAGCAUUCAAGACCCGUGCUCGGCUCAACUCGUUCUCUAUGUUUGCAAUAUAUAUUAUAUUAUGAAAUUUACAAUCUAUAGUAAUAUAUAAUACUAAAAACGUUAAAAAUAUUAAGAUGUCUAUAUAUAAAAUUUUAGUAAAUGCAAAAAAUAUAUAAAGCUAUUAAAUAUUAAAUAAAAAUAAUAUAAAUAUUUUUCAAAAUGAUUAAAAUAUAAAUGAGCAGGCUAGGGUAAAAUUCUAGACCUAUAUUUUUGGCUAGCUAGGUUCGAUUUGAACAAGCAUAAAAUAUAUUAAUAUUAUGUUUAAGCCUAGCCUAAACACAGUUUGACCCUUCCAACCAUCAACACCUCUAACCCCACCCAAAAUUUACUUGAUGAUGUAUAAUAUAUUUGAUCUUCCUUGAAAAAAAAUUGAUUCUAUAAGGUUACAAUUAUCAUUAAUUUUUAGGUAAACUACACUGUAGUCACCCAACUAUUGUCUUUUUUUCUUUUUUUGUCACCUAAUUAUCUUAUAUUUUCGAGUAUUUCCAUUUUUACGUUAAUCAACCGAUGACCAAAAAAGACAAAGUUGAAUAGUUGGGUGACCAUUUUGUAAUUUUUCAUAGUUGAUGACAAAAAAAAAAUACUAAUAGUUAGUGGUCAUUUUGUAACUUUUUAUAAUUGAGUGAUAAAAAAAGAAACCAUAAUUGGGUGAAGUCUAUUGUAAUUUACCCUUAAUAUUUUGGAUAAAAUGGAUUCAAAUUACUUUAUUAACCCUAAUUAAGAUUAAAUUACAAGAUCUAGCUUGAAUAUUAGAGCACGAGUAAGCGAAAGAUUUAAAUAAGCCUAAGGAUUAAUUUGCAAUAAAUAUAUAUAUACACACACAAAUAUUUGCAGUAAUUUACCAGGAUGUUAAGCUUCCCAUUAAACUCAGAAGAAACUGUGUUUAGUAGAUUUUCCCUUUGAGCUAGAUUCGAAACAUCACAAACUGAACCGGUAUCUCGUAAACCCUUUGCCUUCCAUUCGAGUAAGCAAUCAUUGAGCUCAGUUUCAGUUCGCGAACAUGUAUGCACAAUCGCUCCGAAUGCAGCUAAUUCCUCGACGAUUGCAUGCCUGAUCAUUAUCGUAUUAAUUGCACUAUACUUGGUUUGUCACAUUCACAUAAAAACAAACACGUUGAAGUUAAUAAUAAUAAAAAAAAUACUUGAGUUUAAGUAUGAUAAAUUUGAAUCAUUAAUUAUGUCCCAUAAUUAUUAUUUUAGAAAAUUUUUAGAUGUUAACUUUUUUAUAUAUAUUUUAGAUUUUUUUUUAAAUUUUUUUAUAAUUUUUUAAAAAUAUAAAUUUUAAAUUUUUUAUAAAUAUUUUGAAUUUUUGGAAAUUAUUUUAAAAUAUUUUUUAUUUUGUAAUUUUUUUGUGAGAGAGAUUAAUUUGCUUAUUUUCAAAGUUGAAAGGGACCGAAAGAGUAUUUACACCAAUCUGUUAUUCAAAUUAUUGAGUUAUUCGAAUUGUGAAAUUCAACUUGACUCAAACUCGAAAUUCGAAUCAAUUUAUUCGAGUUGAAUCGAAUAAUUCAAAUAACUUAAAACUCAAAAUUAUUUUCAAAUCGAAUUAAAUCGAGAUUUUGUUACAAAUUUAUGGUGGUUUGAACGACAUGGAGAUAAAUUAUUGAGUUUAUUUACACUACCAUUGAUUUAAUUUUAGUUAAAGAGAGAGAAAUAAAGUAAAAAAGGCCUUUGGGUCUACAUUUUAUGUUUCUCUAUAUGAUAAGCAAAUGUACAUGAAACCUUUGAAAGAGAGAUUAGCAACUGUUGCUAAUAUGUGUAUAAGUCAGGCAAAGGCAGGAAGCUAACAUAAGAUUUUUACAUUGUUUUUUUGGGGGGUUAUGUACAUAAUAAAAUAAACUAAUAGUUUUGAUUCACUUAAUACUAACAUUUAACCUUAAACAUAAUUGAGUAUCAUUAUAAACUACUUCAUAAUUUUAACUAUACAUUUUUCUAGAGUUAAAUCAAGUCAAAGUUUUUGAAGUGCAAAGCAUAAAGUUGAGUUAACUCGGAAUGACCAGAGUUGAACAACAUCUUCAGCUUUGAGUUGGUUGUUCUUUACAAUAGAAUUCCAAGAUGUCGUAAUGACAUACAUUGACUUUUUGCGCAUAUCCCACCUUUUAAAGUUGAUUUCAGUUUCCUCCAUUGAUGGUUCCACCAAGCAAGCUUUAAUGGCUUCUUUAUUCUUCAAACGCUCAACCUCGGAUUCGUUAAGGAACUCAUGGGAUUCGACUUGCGAAAACGGUAUCAACAAUCGACUUGCUUGAGGGUUCACAUCGGAGAAAAACAGUUGUUUUUGAAUCACCAAAACGCAAUUUGAUCCACCCAUGUUUUCAACAAUAUGUUGUUUCAAGCCUUCAGGCAUCAUUGGCUUAGGUGGAUAAGAGGUAAUGGGUCUCUUGUUCUUGUUAUUUUCUUCUUGGGUUCGGCGUUUCCUUUUCAAUCCACCAUUCUUUUUCUUAUUCAUGAAGGUUUGCUCUUGCAUUUUUUCCUGGUCGACUCUCACAACUUCUAACAAAUAAUCCAUAGCUGUCCAUUCAGGUUGAAUCUUUGUGUUCUUGAAAUCUUCAGAAGUAAGAAGCUCCAUUUUUCUUUUAGAUAAUCAUAUAGGUAUUAGGGUGGAAGUAUAAAUAUAUAGACAUGAGAGCUGAACAGUUCGUGUAGAAUUGGGUUUCUUUUUUUUAUGAAAAAUAUGAAAUUAAUCCAAAUCCAAAUAGGAAUAGGAUGAUUGAAUUUAAAUAGAAAUCCAAACCCAAAUCCAAUAUGUAAAAAAAAAAAUUUCUUUGCUCUAAAAAUUGACAGAACCAGAACCAGAAACCUAUGACUUACAUAUUGAAUUUGGAGUUGGAUUUCUAUUUAAAUCCAAUCAUCCCAGAACCAGAAACCUAUGACUUACAUAUUGUAUUUGGAUUUCUAUUCUUUUUACAUAUUGGAUUUGGAUUUAAAUUCAAUCAUCCUAUUCCUAUUUGUUUUUGGAUUAAUUUCAUAUUUUUCAUAAAAAAGGAAACCGAAUUCUACACGAACUGUUCAGCUCUCAUGUCCCUAUAUUUAUACUUCCACCCUAAUACCUAUAUGAUUAUCUAAAAGAAAAAUGGAGCUUCUUACUUCUGAAGAUUUCAAGAACACAAGGAUUCAACCCGAAUGGACUGCUAUGGAUUAUUUGUUAGAAGUUGUGAGAGUCGACCAGGAAAAAAUGCAAGAGCAAACCUUAAUGAAUAAGAAAAAGAAUGGUGGAUUGAAAAGGAAACUCCAAAUCCAAGAAGAAAAUAACAAGAACAAGAGACCCAUUACCUCUUAUCCACCUAAGCCACUGACGCCUGAAGGCUUGAAACAACAUAUUGUUGAAAACAUGGGUGGAUCAAAUUGCGUUUUGGUGAUUCAAAAACAACUGUUUUUCUCCGAUGUGAACCCUCAAGCGAGUCGAUUGUUGAUACCGUUUUCGCAAGUCGAAUCCCAUGAGUUCCUCAACGUAUGUCGCUACGAUAUCUUGAAAUUCUAUUGUAAAGAACAACCAAUUCAAAGCUGAAGAUGUUGUUCAACUCUGGUCGUUCCGAGUCAACUCAACUUUAUGCUUUGCACUUCAAAAAUUUUGACUUGAUUUAACUCCAGAAAAAUGUAUAGUUGAAAUUAUGAAGUAGUUUAUAAUUGUACUCAAUUAUGUUUAAGGUUAAAUAUUAAUAUUACUUGAAUCAAAACUAUUAGUUUAUUUUAUUACGUACAUAACCCCCAAAAAAACAAUGUAAAAAUCUUAUGUUGUCUUCGUGCCUUUGCCUGACUUGUACGAAUAUUAGCAACAGUAACUGAAUUUCUCUUUCAAAGGCAUCAUGUAUAUUUGCUUAUCAUAUAGAAGCAUAAAAUGUAGACCCAAAGGCCCUUUUUACUUUAUUACUCUCUUUAACUAAAAUUAAAUCAAUGGCAGCGUGAAUAAACUCAAUAAAUUAUCUUCAUAUCGUUUAAACUAACUGUCAACACCAUUAAUUUGUAACACCAAAAUCUUGAUUCGAAAAAAUCGAAAAAAUUUUCGAUUUCAAGUUAUUCAAAUAAUUCGAUUUAACUCGAAUAACUCGAUUCAAGUUUUGAGUUGGAUUCGAGUUGAAUUUCACAAUUCGAAUAACUCGAAUAAUUCAAAUAACAGAUUGGUAUAAAUACCCUUUUGGUCUAUGUUAGCUUUGAAAAUAAGCAAAUUGGUCUCUUUAACAACAAAAAAUUACAAAAUAAAAAAAAAUUCAAAAUAUUUUUAAAAAAUUAUAAAAGAUUUAAAAAAUUUAUAAUAUAUAUAUGUAAAGUUCAAAUUUUAAAAAUUUCUAAAAUAAUAAUUAUGGGACCUAAUUAAUGAUUCAAAUACUCAAACUCAAGUAUUUUAUUUUAUUUAUUGUUUUGCUUUGAAAAAAAAUUCAAAUAUAUAUGGUUUCAAAUUUAUGUGCUCUAACAUGAAAUUAGUUAUAAUGUAAAAAUAUUUUUAUUUAACAUGUUUAAUUUUUUUAAUUUAACUUUUACAAUAUCACUUGAUUCGAUUCGAAAAAAAAUUCAGAUUAAGUUAGGAUGAUAAAAUAAAAUUUAUGAAUUCGAUUAACUCGAAAUUUUUUCACUUAAUUCGAUAAAACGCUCACCUCUAGUUACCUUUACAUAACCUACGAAUGGUUAAUCUUACAUUAGUGUUGAGACGCAUAUUUGAUAUGAAUCUAGUGGAAAUCCACACGAAAUGGUUCCUUUUUUUUUUCUUUAUUAUUAUUGUCUUGAACGUGUUUGUUUUUAUGUGAAUGUGACAAACCAAGUAUUGUGCAAUUAAUACGAUGAUGAUCAGGCAUGCAAUCGUAGAGGAAUUAGCUGCAUUCGGAGCGAUUGUGCAUACAUGUUCUCGAACUGAGACUGAGCUCAAUGAUUGCUUACUCGAAUGGAAGGCAAAGGGUUUACGAGUUACCGGUUCAGUGUGUGAUGUUUCGAAUCAAGCUCAAAGGGAAAAUCUACUAAACACGGUUUCUUCUGAGUUUAAUGGGAAGCUUAACAUCCCGGUAAAUUACAGCAAAUAUUUAUGUGUAUGUAUAUAUUGCAAAUUCGUCCUCGAGAUAAGCUUGUUUAAAUCUUUUGAUUUCUCGUGCUCUAAUAUUCAAGCUAGAUCUUGUCAUUUAAUCUUAAUUGGGGUUAAUAAAGUAAUUUUAAUCCAUUUCAUCCAAAAAAUUAAGGGUAAAUUACAAUUGACUUCACCCAAUUAUGGUUUCUUUUCCGGUCACUCGAUUAUAGAAAGUUACAAAAUGACCACCCAACUAUUGGUAAAUUUUUUUUAGACACUUUACUAUAAAAAGUUACAAAAUGAUCAUCUAACUAUUUAAUUUUGUGAUUUUUUAUCACCAGCUGGCUAACGUAAAAAUAGAAACACUCGAAAAUCUAAUAUAGUUGGGUGACCAAAAAAGAAAAAAAACAUAAUAGUUGAGUGACUACAGUGUAGUUUACCCAAAAAUUAAUGAUAAUUGUAACCUUAUAGAAUCAUUUUUUUGUAAGGGGUUGAUGGCGGGGAGGGUCGGGCUUAGUUUGGGCUGGCUUAAACAUAAUGUUGAGAUUUUUAUGCUUGAUUAAAUCGAAUCUAGCAAAAGAUUUGGGUCUAAAAUUUUACCCUAACCUGCCCAUAUUAUAUUUUAAUCAUUUUGAAAAAUAUUUAUAUUAUUUUUAUUUAAUAUUUAAUAGCUUUAUAUAUUUUUUGCAUUUACUAAAAUUUUAUAUAUAGACAUCUUAAUAUUUUUAAUGUUUUUAGUAUUAUAUAUUACUAUAGAUUUUUUUUUUGUGUUGUAAAUUUCAUAAUAUAAUAUAUAUUACAAAUAUAGAGAACGAGCUGAGCCGAGCACGAGUCUUGAAUGCUUGAGCCUGAGCAUGACCCAUAUUUUAAAAAAGGUCUAAUUUUUUUUGUUUAGACCCAUUUUCUGAGCCUAAUACUUUGGGUUGGGUCUUGCAAUUGUAGUCUUAUCAAAUUUUACUCAUAUAUGUAAACUCGAUCCAUUCUACUCGGAUAUGUUCAAUUUAACAAUAAAAAAGUUCAACAUUUUGAACCCAAAUUGACCCGAAGUUGAAAUAACCUAAAAGGACCCAAAUUCAUAAUGAUUCAACACGCAAAAUCCGAGCUUUAUCCCUAAAUGACACAAACCCAAAAUAAAUCGAAAUCGGAAUAACUCUAAUAUGAAAUAAUGUACACCUAAAAUUCACACAAUAAAAUAACUCAAAAUCUUAAAACUUGUACUAACCCAAAUACAACCAACACACAGCUAACCCCAUCCAAUCAAUUAACAAAACUAUCUUCAAAGUGAGAUGUUUUCAAUAUUAUUCUUUUACAAAGUUAUGUUAGUUUUUUUAUCUCUCAAUAUGUUUAUAGUUGAUUGUAUUUAAGAAGUCUUUCUAUUAUAGGAACAUGAUUAAAUUAGUCCCUCUACUAUUAAAUAUAUCAAUUUAGUCCCCAUACUAUUAAAAAGAAUCAAUUAAAGCCUAAUUGAAAUAGAAUUAACAUCUACUGUUUUAAAAAAUAUAAUUUACAAUUUAACAGAGUUAAUCAUUUUAAUUUUUUUACAGAAUUGAAGUGCAAUUGAAUUCUUUUUGUACUAAAGGAUUAAAUUGAUCUAUUUAAUAAUAAGACUAAAUUAAUCUAGUCACUAUUAUACAGGGACCUCCCGUGGAAUUUAACCUAUGUUUAUAUAAAAUUAAUAAAAACUCGGAUUUGAAUUGAAGUCGUAAAAUUUGCAGAUAAAUAACGUGGGAACGAAUAUAGGGAAAAUGGUGACGGAUUACACGGCGGAAGAUGUUUCAUUUUUGACGAGCACCAACUUCGAAUCUGCUUAUAACAUUAGUGUAUUGGCACAUCCCCUUUUGAAAGCUUCCGCCGCUGCAAGCGCUGUGUUUAUUUCUUCUGUUGCUGGUACAUUACCUCUACUUUCUGCGCCUAUAUAUGGAGCCAACAAAGGUAAUAUUCUACAUCUUUUAUAUUUAUAUAAAUUAUUUUUUUUACAUAUUGGAUUUGGAUUUGGAUUUGGAUUUGGAUUUAAAUUCAGUCAUCCUAUUCCUAUUUGGAUUUGGAUUAAUUUCAUAUUUUUCAUAAAAAAAGAAACCCAAAUCCACACGAACUGUUCAGCUCUCAUGUCUAUAUAUUUAUACUUCCAACCUAAUACCUAUAUGAUUAUCUAAAAGAAGAAUGGAGCUUCUUACUUCUGAAGAUUUAAGAACACAAGGAUUCAACCUGAAUGGACUGCUAUGGAUUAUUUGUUAGAAGUUGUGAGAGUCGACCAGGAAAAAAUGCAAGAGCAAACCUUCAUGAAUAAGAAAAAGAAUGGUCGAUUGAAAAGGAAAUGCAAAAUUCAAGAAGAAAAUAACAAGAACAAGAGACCCAUUACCUCUUAUCCACCUAAGCCACUGAUGCCUGAAGGCUUGAAACAACAUAUUGUUGAAAACAUGGGUGGAUCAAAUUGCGCUUUGGUGAUUCAAAAACAACUGUUUUUCUCCGAUGUGAACCCUCAAGCGAGUCGAUUGUUGAUACCGUUUUCGCAAGUCGAAUCCCAUGAGUUCCUCAACAAAUCCGAGGUUGAGCUUUUGAAGAAUAAAGAAGCCAUUAAAGCUUGCUUGGUGGAACCAUCAAUGGAGGAAAUUGAAAUCAACUUUAAAAGGUGGGAUAUGCGCAAAAAGUCAAUGUAUGUCGUUACGACAUCUUGGAAUUCUAUUGUAAAGAACAACAAACUCAAAGCUGAAGAUGUUGUUCAACUCUGGUCGUUCCGAGUCAACUCAACUUUAUGCUUUGUACUUCAAAAACUCUGAUUUGAUUUAACGCCAGGAAAAUGUAUAGUUAAAGUUAUGUAGUUUAUGAUGAUACUCAAUUAUGUUAGGUUAAAUAUUAGUAUUACUUGAAUCAAAAUUAUUGAUUUAUUUUAUUACAUAACCCUCCAAAAAAACAAUGUAAAAAUCUGAUGUUGUCUUCGUCCCUGUGCCUGACUUGAAGACAUAUUAGCAACGGUAACAAAAUCUCUCUUUCAAAGGGCUUAUGUAUAUUUGCUUAUUAUAUAGAAGCAUAAAAUGUAGACCCAAAGGCCUUUUUUACUUUAUUACUCUCUCUUUAACUACAAUUAAAUCAACGGUAACCUAAAUAAAUUCAAUAAUUUGUCUCCAUGCCCUUCAAACCAAUUAUCAACACCAUAAAUUUGUAACACCAAAAUCUCGAUUCGAUUCGAUUUCAGAAAAUCGAAAAAUAUUUUGAAUCUCAAUUUAUUCGAAUUAUUCAAUUCAAGUUUUGAGUUCGAGUUGAGCUAAGUUGAAUUUCUCAAUUCGAAUAACUUGAAUAAUUUGAAUAACGGAUUGAUAUAAAUACACUUUUGGUCCCUCUCAGCUUUGAAAAUCAACAAAUCGGUCUCUUUCACAACAAAAAUUACAAAAAAAAUUAAAGUAAUUUUUCAAUUAAUUUUUAAAAUUUAAAAUAUUUAUAUAAAAUUCGAAAUUUAUAUUUUAAAAAAUUAUACAAAAUUUAAAAAAUUCUAAAAAAUAUAUAAAAAGUUUAAAAUAUAAAAAAUUUCUAAAAUAAUUAUUAUGGGACCUAAUUAAUGAUUCAAAUUUGUCAUACUCAAGUAUCUUAUUAUUAUUUUCAUUGUUUUGCUUUGAAAAAUUUUCCAAAUAUAUAUGGUUUCAAACUUAUAUGCUCUAACAUGAAAUUAGUUAAAAUGUAACAAUAUUUUUAUUUAACAUGUUUAAUUUUUUUAAUUUAACUCGAACAAUUUCACUCGAUUCGACUUGACUCGAAUUUCAUUUCACUCGAUUCGAUUCGAAAAAAAUUUAAAUUAAUUUAGAAUGAUAAAAUAGGACUUGUGAACUCGAAUAACUCGAAAUUUUUCACUCGAUUCGAUCGAAUGCUCACCCCUAAUUACCUUCACAUAACCUAAGGAUAAAACAAUUGUUACAUCACCACAUCCAAAACACUCAACUAACUAAAUACUUUUCUCAAUGUUGAACUCGUUCAGGAACUCAUGCCAUUCAACUUUCGAAAUUGAUAUCAACAAUCAACUCGCUUAAGGGUUCACAUAAGAGAAAAACAGUUAUUUCCGAAUCACCAAAAUGCAUUUUGAUCCUCCCAUAUUUUCCACUAUAUGUUGUAUCCUCCAUAAAAAUUCCUUCUUGCAUUUUUUCUUGGUCAACUCCAACAAAUAAUUCAAAGACCUCCAUUCAGGAUCUAACCCUUGUGCUCCCAAAAUAUUCGCAACUAAGAAAAUCUUACAUAAUUAUGCAACUAUUAGGGUGAAAGUAUAAAUAUAUACCCAUAUAAUGGGUGUGUCUUAAAUUUUUUUUAUCAAUUAAUUUAUCAUAUAUAUUUUAAAAGGUUUAAUAUAAUGAAAAAUCCUUGUAAAAUAAUUUAAUAAUCAACUAAGGCCUCAAUUAAAAACAACAUUCAAUUGAGUCUUUAAUUUUUCUUUUUUGCUCGGCAAUUAAGUCCUUAAUUAAAUAUAAGCAAUCAAUUAAACUCUAAAAAAAAAAAAACAACUUCCAUGUAAACCCUUAAUGAUAGGAGCUCAAUUGAUUAUUUAGUUAUUUUAUAGGGACUUUUCAUUUUAUCAAUCCCUUUAAAGCUAUAGUUUUCGUAAAAAAGACAAAUAUUUUCAUAAUAAUAAUUGUUAUUUUUAAAAUAAAUAUUUUUUUAAUCAUUUAUAAUUGAGUUUGUUUGGUUGACUCGUGAAGUCAAUUCGGUAAAAAAACUUGAAUAUAAUAUAAAUACAGAGAAAAGCUUUGAUGAAUUAGGGGAUGUGUAAUUUGAGAAUGACUUAAAUAUGCGUUUCGGCCUUUGAAUUUUGAUUCACUUUGGUGUCGGGUUUUUAGAAACAAGUACAUGAGUAAUGUUGCUUUCUUGAGUGAUGAAGUUAAGCCAAAUGUUUCCUCCACUUGGAGAGCUUUAUGAGAUAGUGGCCAAGGGUUGUAAAUGGGAAGUAGGGGAUGUUCAAAUAUUCGGUUCAGGUUCGAUUGGUGGGUGGGACAAUGACCGUUGAAGGAUAAUCAAAACACGAACCAAUCGGAGAAUGGUCUCGGAUUAUAUCUCGAAUGAGGGUUCGUGCCAAUCCCUUGCGUGAAUAGAGAGGUUGUUAAAGACUCUUCUUGUUGGGGGUUGGAGACUUCUGGUAGAUUUUUGGUAGGCUCAGCUUAUUAUAUGCCAGCAAAAAUGGAGUUCUAUAGCAAUAGUGACAUGAGGUCCAGAGUGAAUCCAUUUUUUCAUAGGGCUUGCUUAGCUAAAUCACUAACGACAUUAUCGAAUUAGUACUAUUUUAUAAUGAUAUAUUGCAUCUACAAACAAUUAUAUUAAUCUAAUUUGAAAAUAAAUGUAAGUAUUCAUUACUUUAGAUGAGACAGUUGAAUCAAAAUCAAAGUUUCUUGUAUACAUAUGAAUCACAAUUCAAGUUUCAUAUGAAUAAUUGCACCAAAUCAAAAUUUAUGUAUCAAAUUGCACAUUAGACCAAAGCUCAUAUAUGAACUUGAUAUUCAUUCCAAAAAUAAUAUUAAAGUUUGGAUUAAAGGGUGGCUAUGAAUCCUCUGUUGGUAAUGCAAAGGGUUGGUGUUAGUGGGUAUAUCCCAUAUUGUUUAAAUACAAAUGUUUUUAUAUAAUUGUACUUCUUAGUCUCAUUGAGCAAUUGGGCUAUAGGCUUAUUACAUGUUUUUUUCUUUUCAAAAGACUUAUUUUUUCCACAUAGUUACUAUUUCGAAAAAUCUAGGAAUUUUCGGAUGUUCGAAUGGAAAUAGUGGGGGUAGUUUCAGUGCUUUUAUUUAUUUAUUUAUUUAUUUGCCCCUGCCUUUUUAUCAUUUUCCCUUAUGUUACUAGUAUAAAUAGAGGGCUGAUUUCCUCAUUUUCUUUUACACUGAAUAGAAACACAACCCUCUCUAAAAAACAUUCCUCUCCUCCGCUUUCUGUCUUUGAUUUCUUUAUAAAUUGUCUUUUUUUCCUUAAUCACUUUAGAGGAAAUUCUGUCUAGGAGUUUGGGUUUUAAGUGGGAUCGAAAUCACUGAACCUUUCAGAAAAAAAUAAUUUAAUCACUGAAAUCAGAAAAAAAAAAACUUAAUACAUAAUUUGGUACUUAAGUUUGACACUUUUUUCUAAUGUGGUACAUGUGUUGUUUUUUGGUCUAAUUUGGUACAUGUAUUUGAUAAAAGUUAUACAUUCUGGUACCUAAAGGUAAGAAUGCUAAUUUUUUUAGUGUUUAAUUUAGGUUUUAAAAUUGAUUUGAUUAAAAUUUAUAAUUAGCUAAUAAUAUUAACAGUUAACUUUCACAAAAUCAAUCCUAUAACUUUAAUUAAACCACAAUCAUCGGACUAUAUUUAACAAAUUAAAUAAAUGUUACAGGCCAAUUUCAGGCUGUUUACAAAUACCCAAACCCGGUUGGCCCAUUACAAUACCCCUAACCUAUUUAUAACUAUCACCCAUUUAACCCAUUUACAAAUUUAACCCAAUACCCACCAAACCCCAAAACCCAAUCACAUUAAACCAAAUACCCCAAGCCCAGUUACUAAACCCGAAUGGCCCAUUUACAUUACAAUGCCCUUUAGCCCAACUAACCCUAGCCCAAUUAGCCCAAUACCCAAAAUCAAAAGAAAAAAAAACCAAAACACCUAACCCUAAUCAGCCUUUAGCCGCAACCACCCUCCCCACUUGCCCCCGACUGUCAGUCUCUGCCACCACCAUACCAGCCCAUGCCACUGUCACCUCCACCGUUCAACCACCCUGCAAAGACAAAGCAGAACACGCAACAGCAAAACAGAGAAACAAAAAGUGUAUAAAAAUCGAAUGUAAACCAUAAAAUAGGGAUUCGGCAAAUUUUUGAUAAAAAAGAAAAAGCAUUCAAUUUUAAAAAACACAAAAAUAGAAUAUCAAUUCCAAUGAUACUAAAUCAAGCAUAAUACCAAAUCAGAAGCCCCAAGAUACUGAAAUCGAAAGUUUAAAACCUAAGGUAAUUUCUUUUUUUUUUUCUUAUUUUAAUUUCGUUUUUUUUAAACCUAUUUUCUCAUCUUUACCUACUAAAACACAUAAAAAAUAUAACACAAAAAUAAAUAAAAAAGGGGGAAAAACAGUGGCCGGCGCCGGCACCGGCGAAGGUCCGGUGACCGCCCCCCUUGGCCGGAGAUCCUCUCCUCUCCCCUUCUCUCCCUUUUUUUUUUCCUUUCCCCUUUCAACUGAUUUUUUUUUAAAAAAAAUUGUCUUUUAUAGGGACCAAAACUCAAAAACGACGUCGUUUUGGCCCCGGGUCGGGUCGACCCGACCCGCUCCGAUCAGGAUCCGCGUGUUUUUUAAACGGAAGGGAUAUUUUCGAAUUUAGCCCUUCCGCUUUUUCAUGCAUUUACAAUAAGGUUUUUCGCUUUUAAUUUGGCCCUGGAUUCUGUUGAGUUUUACAAUUUAGCCCCUGGCCAUGCGCAUCGUCUUAAAUGAUUUGGGUAAAUUUUGAUUUUGGUCCCUCUAAGUCACGCGCGCGUUACAAUUCGGCCCCGUAUCCUAUUUUAUUUCAAAUUUCGCCCCAAAAUUUUGUUUUAUGCUCGAUUUAGUCCUUUUGUUAGUUUACUGUUUAUUUUCAAAUUAUCUUGUUAUUAUUUUCUGUUAUUUAUUAUUAUUAAUUAUAAUCUAUAUACUUAUUAUAUUGUAUUAUUUGCAAGUAGUAGUGUAUACUUGUUAUGUACGUAUACGUAUAUGUAUAUUUAUUGAUGGUGUUCCUUUAUACUUUAUUUUAAUAUUUUUAUCAUAUUUGCCUUUUUAUAUAUUUCAAUAUUAUUAUUAUCAUUAUGUAUUAGUGUAUAAUCUUUUAUAUAUGUAUGUGUAUUUAAUAUACUGAUGUAUUAUAUUAUAUAGAUAUUUAUACGUUAUAUAUGCUUUUAAUAUUACAUUUUAUAUAUUAUUAUGUAUAUUUUUAGUAUAUAUAUAUUUGUGAAAUAUUAUCAAUAGUUUAUUUUUUAUUAUUAUUUUUUUAAUAUGUAUAUAUUGUGUAUAUAUUUUAACACUACAUUAUAUAUAUUUUUAUAUUAUACAUAUAUUUCAAAUAUUAUAUAUUAAGUAUUUCUAAUAUCCUUAUUAUUUAUACUCAUACGUACGUGUCUAUGUAUCGUAUUAAUAAAUUCAUUUUAUUGUUAUCGUUUCUAAAGUAUAUGUACAUAUCAUCUAUGUGUUAUAUAUAUAUAUAUUUUCAAUAUUAUUAGUUAUAUUUCUAUAUAUACUAUUCCCAUGUAUAUAUUAUUACAUUUAUUUUAUUCCUAUUAUAUUUAUUAUUAGUACAUAUAUUUUAGUAUGCGUAUAUAUAUAUUUUUUAUAGUAUUAUUUUCAUAUGUUAUUAUACUCAUUAAUUUACUUAUUAUUUUCCAUAUUGUCACUUAUGAUCUUAAUAUUAUUAUAUGUUAUUUGGUGUACAUAUAUCUUUUUAUUGUUACUAUUUUUACUAUUAUUAUUAGUAUAGGUCUGUUAUAUAUGUAUAUUGUAUAUGUUCAUUUUAAAUAUGUUAUGUAUAUAUAUAUUAUGUACCCAUAUUAGUAUUAUUAUGUAAACCUUUUUCAUUCCUAUUUUACGUACAUAUUCUCAAUGUCAUUAUUACGUAUAUACACCCAUUUUUUCAUUUCAUAUUUAAUUCUAGUAUUACAUAUAUCUUUAUUGUUUAUAAUAUUAUUGUCACACUUAUAUUUGCUUCAAUAUAUUUCUAGAUUUGUCUUUUAUUUAUUUUUAUUUAUUAAUUUGCUUUGCAUUAUUUCAAAAAUCUUAUUCUUGUUUUUUUAAUAAAUAAGGCAAUGUAUCGAUUUAACAUUAAGCCGUAGAUUUCAUCGCUAUGUUGGAUGGAAUUUGUCGGCUCGUGUUAAAGACGGAACACCCUUCUGAAAAAUCAAAAAACUAAGAUUUCUCGUCUUUUCAAUCGGAUCACGACUAAAUGUUACAUUGAAUUCGCAUUUUUGAAAAUCAAGACAACACGUGUUUUAUAAGAUACCAAUUUUGGGCGUCGCGAGGGUGCUAAUACCUUUCUCGCGCGUAACCGACUCCCGAACCCUAAUUUUUUUCUCUGGAUUUUCACGUAGACUUAAAUUUGGUCUUCAUUUUUUCUCAAAAAAAAAGAUGAUUUAUUAGGUGUCCGAUCACACCUAGGAAAAAGGAUCGGUGGCGACUCCUCUUUAUUUUAAAAUCAAAUUUUUUACUAAAUCGCCACAAUUAGCGACCAAGCUAAAGAUUUUACAUCGCUACAAUAAAUUUACAACUAAGACUAAAUUUACUCUAUUAACAAAAUCAUGAAGAAAAACUAAUAAUAUAAGCACUUAACUUUCCUCAAAUCAAUUCUAAAACCCGAAUUAAACACUUAAAUAUUACAUUAGAAAAAGAAUAUUGAUCUCGAAUACCAAAUGAUAUAUUAAGCUUUUCUUCUUCAUAAAAGAAUGGUAAUCGUUGGAUUUUAUAGGUCUGAUUUGCUCAAAGAGUCGGUUAGAGGAGAAAAAUCGAUUAAAUAAUUAUAAAUCUUCUACUAUUUUUUGUUUUAUUCAAUGAUGAUGUGCCAUAUUAUUAUUUCACUAAUGAUGUAUUAAAUAUUAUUUUUAUGUAUCUUUAUUAUUAUAAAACUCCUAAAUGAAUUUGAUAUCACGAGUUAAAAACAUACAAAUUGAAUAAACAAAAAUCCAAAAGAAAAAUUAAAAUUCAAAAUUAAUGUUUUCUUGAGUGAUGAAGUUGAGCCAAAUGUUUCCUCUACUUGGAGUGGUUUAUGAGAUAGUGGCCAAGGGUUUUAAAUGGGAAAUAGGCGAUGGUUCAAAUAUUUGGUUCAGGUUCGAUUGGUGGGUGGGACAAUGAUCAUUGAAGGAUAAUCAAAACAUGAACCAACCGGAGAAUGGUCUCCGAUUAUAUCUCAAAUGAGGGUUCGUGGUGGUGCCAAUCCCUUGCGUGAAUAGAGAGGUUGUUAAAGACUCUUGUUGUUAGGGUUGGAGACUUCUGGUAGAUUUUCAUAGGGCUUUCUUAGCUAAAGCACUAACAGCAUUAUCGAAUUAGCACUUUUUUAUAAUGAUAUAUUGUAUCUACAAACAGUUAUAUUAAUGAAAUUUGAAAAUAAAUGUAAGUAUUCAUUACUUUAGAUGUGGCAAUUGAAUCAAAAUAAAGUUUCAUGUAUACAUAUGAAUCACAAUUCAAGUUUCACGUGAAUAAUUGCACUUAAUCAAAAUUUAUGAAUCAAAUUGCACAUUAGACCAAAGCUCAUAUAUAAACUUGAUAUUCAUUCCAAAAAUACUAUUAAAGUUUGGAUUAAAUGGUGGCUAUGAAUCCUCUGUUGGUAAUGCAAAGGGUUGGUGUUGUGGGUAUAUCCCAUAUUGGUUAAAUACAAGCUAUUAAGAGUUUUUAUAUAAUUGUACUUUUUACUCUCAUUAAGCAAUUGGGCCAUAGGCUUAUCACAUGUUUUUUCAAGAGUCUUAUUUUUUCCACAUAGUUACUGUGCCAAAAAAUCUAGGAAUUAUUGGCUAUUUGGACGAAAAUAGUGAGGAUAGUUUUAGUGGUUUUUUUUACUCCUUUGCCCCUGCCUUUUUAUCGUUUUCCCCUUAUGUUAACAUUCCUCUCCUCCGCUUUCUGUCUGUGAUUUCUUUAUAAAUUGUCUUCUUUUCCUUAAUCACUUUAGAGAAAAUUAUGUCUACGAGUUUGGGUUUUAAGCGGGAUCAACUAUGACCCCUCUAAACUUUCUUACGAAUUGUUCCUACUAUAAUUUCCUGAGAAGAGCAACACCAAUCUAGUUCCAUCUUCCAUAAUCAGGUGUACAAAUAUCGAAGGACUGUGUUAACCUUGGAGGAUGAGAUCCAUUACAUGAUUACACCGAUCACGGUGAAUUCGUUUUUAAGACGAUGGAUUUACCCCGACGCAAUAAUUUUUUAUUUCAUAUUUCGUUAUUUAUUUUCCAGUAAGUGCUAACAGAUUUUUUUUACAAUAACUUAUUUCCAACAUCCUCUUGCUCAUUUCCCAAACAGGUCUUAUACAUCACAACUUACAAACAACGUACACAUUUGAGUUGGCUCGUGGCUCAUGGCUCAUGUUGUUUUGUAAUUUGAUUUGGAAAACAGAGGCCAUUCACAGUGAUCCCACCAUCAACAAAAAUAAGCUGCCCUGUUACAUAUGAAGCCGCCGGUAGGCACAAGAAAGCAACCAUAGCCGACACUUCCUUUGGCUCACCGGCCCGUCCUAAUGGUGUUCGGCUUAUGAUUGCAUUUUUUCCUUCUUCAUUAUCUUCAGAAAACUGCAAAAAUAAUAUAUCAAUGUAUCUAUUAUGUCUAUAGUUGUCUAAUUAUGAUGACAACUAAAUGUCGAGUCCUAAUAAAUGUAACACAAAGUUAUUUGGAUUUGAUUAGAAAUAGGUUCAAAAUAUUUUUUAUCAUUAUCGAGUCAAACUAUCGAGCCCGCUGAUUUGAAUAUCUUAAUUAUUUAAAAGUUUAAUCAAGUUUUUAAGGUAAAUUGCACCCAAAGUCACUAAACUAUAGUAAGUUUAUGUUUUAGUCACUCAACUUAAAAAAGUUACAAAAUGAUCACUAAACUAUUCAAAAGUUUUGAUUUUAGUCACUGGACUGUUAAAAUCGUUGUGGUAUAGGUUUCUUUGUUUGCGCCACUUGCACCAAUCAAAAGUUCUCCUUCCCCUUCUUUUCUACAAUUCAACCCUUUUUUUUUUGCCAUGAAACAGCUUUGAAAAUCACAAAUCUACAAACCAAAAUCCAGACAACUUUCUUCUCCGAUAUCCAACACUGACCACCAGAUCGACUUGGAUCCAAGGUAUGUUCUUCUACUCAUCAAUGGGUACUGACCCACUGUACCAAUCAUCAAAUCGUCGCUUGGAGCUUCCUAGCUGAUUUAUUUUUUUUUUUUAAAAAAAAAACUUAACAACCUAGUGACUUAUAUCAAAUUUUUUGAUAGCUUAGAAACUUAAAUGAAAACUUUCAAAUAGUUUAAUAACCAUUUUGUAACCUUUUGAAGUUGAGUGACCAAAAACGUGUAUUUACUAAUUGUUUAAUGACCUUGGGUGUAGUUUAUCCUUUUUUUAAGAUUAUAUAUUUUUAUUAGUAAUUGAAAAAUCUCAAUCCAAUCUUGAACUUCUAACAUAAAUUAUAGAUUUUGUUUCAAUAAAAUUUCAAUGACUGAGAAAAAAAGAGAAUUACAUAGUUUGAAUUCAAGAAUAAGAAUCGAGUCCAUUUCAUAUUAGGUGAACAAGUCUAAUCAAGUAAGUUUGAGUAACUCGUUUUUUUUUAAUUCUCGAAUAGAACUGAAACUUUAAAAAUGAAAUUCAAUCAAGCUCGAACCGGGUUUUGAAAUUUCAGUUGAACUCAAGCUCCUUACAGCACGAGUUUGUUCAAGACCGAUUAAAAGUUUAUUGGGACGGAGAGAGUAUAAAAGAUAAGCAUAAGGAAGAGUUUCUUACACGUUGAGAGAGGGGAGUUUUGAUGAGUGCUGGUGCAAUGGCAUUAACCCUAAUAUUAUCUCCUGCCCAGUCACAAGCUAAGAAUUUCGAAAGAUGAUCCAUGGCCCCUGCAACAAAAUCAGACAAUUUUAGAGGGACUAAAGCACAAAUUUUCCAUUUGAAGGGGCCAAGGCUUUACCUACCACCUGCUUAUAUAUGUGGUUAAUUGUAUUGAACAUUCUCAAAUUAUCACUAAGAUUUUAAAUUGGUCCUUGAACAAAAAAAAUAUUUUAAUUGAGUUUUCAAAGUAUUAGUAUUAUAUUAAUCAAGUCUUUUCGUCAGUUUGGAUAUCAAUUUAGGCAUUAAAUGAUAGUUCAGAUCUGACAUGGUAUAUAUUUAAAAUACAUGAAUCAAAUUGGGAACAUAUUACAUUCAUGUUGUUUGCACGUAAUUAAAAUUGAACCAUACGUUUUAAAUAUACUCUACACUAUAUUUGAGCUGGCAAUUAACACCUAAGCUACUAGUUAAGUUUCAGAAGGACCUUAUUGAUAUGAUAGUGAUAUUUUAAAGACUCGAAAAGAAAGUUUUGAAGUUCUAAUGCCAAUUUAAAAUCUAGACUACAAUUUUAGUACGCCUUGAACUUGACAACACUCCAACUUUGGUCUCUAAACUUUUUUUUGGUCCAUAUUAGUCCCUGAACAUGACAUCUUUUCUCAAUCUAGUCCUCAAACUUGGAUUUUGUUAGGGAUGAUGGUGUGGAACUCUGAUAUUGGUCCCUAAACUUGUAGCUUUAAGAUUUUAUACAAUUUUUUUUAAUUUCUUAGGUGAUGACAUGACACAAUCUUAAAGUCGUACAUUAUCACACCUUAAUUGAACUAAGUUCAUGGACCAAAUAAGAAAAAAAGAUUACUAAGUUUUGGGAUUAAUGUGGACCAAAAAAGGUUCAAUGACCAAAUUGAAAAAUACCAAGUUCAAAGACUAAAUAUUGCUUUAUCCCAAAAAUAAAAUAAAAUACAAUAUGUAAAAAAAUAAUUUUAUAAAUAUAAAACGUGUAGAAUAUUACCUUUGUUGGCUCCAUAUAUAGCCGUAUUAAAUACAGGUAAUGUACCAGCAAUAGAAGAGAUAAACACAACGCUUGCAGCGGCGGAAGCUUUCAGAAGGGGAUGUGCCAAUACACUAAUGUUAUAAGCAGAUUCGAAGUUGGUGCUCGUCAAAAAUGAAACAUCUUCCGCCGUGUAAUCUGUCACCAUUUUCCAUAUAUUCGUUCCCACGUUAUUUAUCUGCAAAUUUUACGAGUUCAAUUCAAAUCCAAAUUUUUAUUAAUUUUAUAUAAACAUAGGUUAAAUUCCAUGGGAGAUCCCUGUAUAAUAGGGACUAGAUUAAUUUAGUCCUAUUAUUAAAUGGAUCAGUUUAGUCCCAUUAGUACAAAAAGAAUUCAAUUGCACUUCAAUUCCAAACAAAAUGUUUCAUUUACAAAGCCAUAAAAAAAUUAAAAAUAUUAACUCUGUUAAAUUGUAAAUUAUAUUUUUUAAAGCAGUAGAUGUUAUAUCUAUUUCAAUGAGGCCUUAAUUGAUUCUUUUUAAUAAUAGAGGGACUAAUUUAAUCAUGUUUCUAUAAUAGCGGGACCUCUUAGAUACAUUCAACUAUAAACACAUUAAAAGAUAAAAAAUCCUCGUAAUAACAUAACUUUGUAAAAAAUAUAAUAUUGAAAACAUCUCACUUUGAAGAUAGUUUUGUUAAUGGAUUGGAUUGGGUUAGUACAAGUUUUAAAUCUUUGAGUUAUUUUGGUUUGUGUGAAUUUUAGGUGUACAUUAUUUCAUAUUAGAGUUAUUUCAAUUUCGAUUUAUUUUGGGUUUGUGUCAUUUAGGAUAAAGCUCAGGUUUUGCGUGUUGAAUUAUUUAUGGAUUUGGGUCCUUUCAGGUUAUUUCAGCUUCAGGUCUAUUUAGGUUCAAAAUAUUGAACUUUUUUAUUGUUAAAUUGAACAUAUUCAAGUAGAAUGGAUCGAAUUUUCAUAUUUAAGUAAAAUUUAAUAGGAGAACAAUUGCAAAACCCAACCCAAAAUAUUAGGUUCAAAAAAUGGGUCUAGACAAAAAAAUUAGACCAAUUUAAAAUAUGGGCCUUGCUCAGGCUCAAGCAUUCAAGACCCAUGCUCGACUCAACUCGUUCUCUAUGUUUGUAAUAUUUAUUAUAUUAUGAAAUUUACAACACAAAAAAAAAAUUAAAUCUAUAGUAAUAUAUGAUACUAAUAACAUUAAAAAUAUUAAGAUGUCUAUAUAUAAAAUUUUAGUAAAUGCAAAAAAAUAUAUAAAGCUAUUAAAUAUUAAAUAUUAAAUAAAAAUAAUAUAAAUAUUUUUCAAAAUAAUUAAAAUAUAAGAUGGGUAGGCUAGAGUAAAAUAUUAGGCUCAUAUUUUUUGCUAGGUUCAAUUUGAACAAGUAUAAAAUAUAUCAAUAUCAUGUUUAAACCCAGCCCAAACUCAGCCCGGCCCUCCUAGCCAUCAACACCUCUAACCCCACCUAAAAUUUACUAGAUAGUUUAUAUCAUAUUUGAUCUCCCUUGAAAAAUUUUUUUGAUUCUAUAAGGUUACAAUUAUCAUUAAUUUUUGGGUAAACCACAUUGUAGCCACUCAACUAUUAUUUUUUUUCUUUUUUGGUCACCAAACUAUCUUGGAUUUUCGAGUGUUUUUUUUUUUACAUUAGCCAGCUCGUGACAAAUAAUUACAAAAUUAAAUAGUUAGGCGGCCACUUUGUAAAUUUUCAUAGUUGAGCGACCAAAAACAAUUUAUUAAUAGUUGAGUGGUCAUUUUGUAACUUUCGAUAAUUGAGUGACCGAAAAAGAAACCAUAGUUGGGUGAAGUCAAUUGUAAUUUACCCUUAACUUUUUGAUGAAAUGUAUUAAAAUUACUUUAUUAACCCCAAUUAAGAUUAAAUGACAAGAUCUAGCUUGAAUAUUAGAGCACAAGUAAUCAAAAGAUUUAAACAAGCCUAUUUCGAGGAUGAAUUUGCAAUAUAUACAUAAACAUAAAUAUUUGCAGUAAUUUACCAGGAUGUUAAGCUUCCCAUUAAACUCAGAAGAAACUGUGUUUAGUAGAUUUUCUCUUUGAGCUUGAUUCGAAACAUCACACACUGAACCGGUAACUCGUAAACCCUUUGCCUUCCAUUCGAGUAAGCAAUCAUUGAGCUCAGUUUCAGUUCGAGAACAUGUAUGCACAAUCGCUCCGAAUGCAGCUAAUUCCUCUACGAUUGCAUGCCUGAUCAUCAUCGUAUUAAUUGCACAAUACUUGGUUUGUCACAUUGACAUAAAAACAAACACGUUGAAGACAAUAAUAAUAAAGGGAAAAAAAAGUAACCAUUUCGUGUGGAUUUCCACUAGAUUCACAUCAAAUCUGUGUCUCAACACGAAAAUAAGAUUUUCCCUUUAAGUGUGGUGUUGUGUUUUAGUUAUUUUUCUCGUGUUAUUUUUAUGGGUAAAUUAUAUUUAAGGUCAUUAAACAAUUAAUAAGUUUACAUUUUGAUUAUUGAAUUUCAAAAGUUACAAAAUAGUUAAUGAACUAUUCGAAAGUUUUCAUUUUAAGUCACUAGGCUAUUAAAAUCGUUGUUAUAUGACUUUCUCUGUUCGAAAGUUUUUUUCCCCUUUUAUUCUACACUUCAGUUUUUUUUUUUAUAAAACAACUUUAAACCUCAAGAAUUUUAGAUCGAUUUAGAUCUAAUGUAUGUUUUUCUACUCAUUAAUGGGUACUAAUUCACAUACCAGUCGACGAAUUGUCGCUUAAAACUCGUUAGUCGAUCUUUUAAAAAAAAAACUUAAUAACCCAAUAACAAUAACCAUUUUUUACCUUUUUAAAAUUAAAUAAUCAAAAUGUAAAGUUAUUAAUACUUUAGUCACAUUAGGUAUAGUUUACCCUAUUUUUAUCGAAUAGGAAGAGGAAAGUACCCGAUGCCUUUGGUACCACCGGUGACAAGUGCAGUCAUGCCGUGAAGACUCCAUCUUUUGUCUUUGCUACACCCCUCUGCUUCUCCCAUUUUGCUUACUUUCUCACCUUCCUUUUUUAUGGUGCUUCAUAUAUAUGUGUACAUAUAUAUAUAUGGAUGGAUGGAUAAUAUGCUGUAAAUCAGAAUUGUUUUCAACCACAGAACGAGAUUCAUCAUGUACCAUUUAUCUUCAAAUCAAGGUUAUAUUCUGUCAUUAGUCCCUGUAUUUUGUAAAAGUUAUGAAUUUAAUCCCUAUACUUUUAUAUGAUAUUUUUAGCUCUUGCACUCUCCAAAUUUUAAUAUUUCAGUCAUUACCAAAUAAUAACUAUUAAAUUCAUUAAGUAAAGUUAUGCUAUUUCUAAAAUUCGAUGUGCCAAUAUAUAUUAUUAUAUGUGUAAUGUCAUGUCAAUUUAUCUACAUAAAAAUUCAGUUAGUAGAUUAACGACUCUAAUUUGUGUCAAGAUUAAAAUUGCAAAAUACGAAAAGUGUAAGGACUUAGAAAUACCCAAUUGAAAAAAAUAGACUAAAUCUAUAAUUGUACGCAUAAUACAUAACUAGUAAUUGAAUUUACUCAUUAGCCAUUAACGGUGGUAAGUAGCUUCAACAUCCAUAAUUUAAGGGUAAAUUACAUCAGUAGUCAUUUAAUUAUUAGUAUUUUUUCUAUCAUCUAAUUAUGAAAAGUUAUAAAAUUGUUACUUAAUAAAUUUCAUUUUUUGUUACCCAACCAUGAAAAGAUACAAAAUGGUCUCCCAACCAUUCAAUUUUGUUUUUGUUUGUCGCCAACUAGCUGAUAGUGGCGGCUUUUAAAAUUGGCAUAGUAACUAUUUUAACCCUCAAUAUUUAAACAUUGUGUCAAUUUAGUCUUGAUUCUAAAAAAUCUACCCCUCAACAUUUACACAUUAUGUAAUUGGGUCUUUUUUACAAGUUCGAUUUUUUUUGUGACCCUUUUACCUAAAAACCUAAAAAAAUUUAUCAGCUAAAUUUGAUUGAAAAUUUACAAAAAAAAAAUGGAAACACUCAAAAAUCCAAGAUAAUUUUCAUUCUUUUAAAAUUAAUACUUAAUGCCACAAAAAAUUUUACAUUUAUCACUUAACCUUUCAAAAAAAGAUAAUUUAAUCACUGAAAUCAGAAAAAAAAACUUAAUACAUAAUUUGGCACUUAAGUUUGACACUUUUUUCUAAUGUGGUACAUGUGUUGUUUUUUGGUCUAAUUUGGUACAUGUAUUUGAUAAAAGUUAUACAUUCCGGUACCUAAAGGUAAGAAUGCUAAUUUUUUUAGUGUUUAAUUCAAGUUUUAGAAUUGAUUUGAUUAAAAUUCAUAAUUAGCUAAUAAUAUUAACAAUUAACUUUCACAAAAUCAGUCCUAUAACUUUAAUUAAACCUCAAUCAUCAGACUAUAUUUAACAAAUUAAAUAAAUUUACAACUAAAACUAAAUUUACUCUAUUAACAAAAUUAUGAAGAAAAACUAAUAAUAUAAGCACUUUACUUUCCUCAAAUCAAUUCUAAAACCCGAAUUAAUCACUCAAAUAUUACAUUAGAAAAAGAAUAUUGAUCUCGAACACCAAAUGAUAUAUUAAGCUUUUCUUAUUCAUAAAAGAAUGGUAAUCGUUGGAUCUUAUAAGUCUGAUUUGCGCAAAGAGUGCUUUAGAGGGAGAAAAUCAAUUAAAUAAUUAUAAAUCUUCUACUUUUUUUUGUUUUAUUCAAUGAUGAUGUGUCAUAUUAUUAUUUCACUAAUGAUGUAUUAAAUAUUAUUUUUGUGUAUCUUUAUUAUUAUAAAACUCCUAAAUGAAUUUGAUAUCACGAGUUAAAAACAUACAAAUCAAAUCAACAAAAAUCCAAAAGGAAAAUUAAAAUUCAAAAUUAAUGUUUUCUUGAGUGAUGAAGUUGAGCCAAAUGUUUCCUCUACUUGGAGAGGUUUAUGAGAUAGUGGCCAAGGGUUUUAAAUGGGAAGGAGGGGAUGGUUCAAAUAUUCGGUUCAAGUUCGAUUUGUGGGCGGGACAACGACCGUUGAAGGAUAAACAAAACAUGAACCAAUCGGAGAAUGGUCUCCGAUUAUAUCUCAAAUGAGGGUUCGUGGUGGUGCCAAUCCCUUGCAUGAAUAGAGAGGUUGUUAAAGACUCUUGUUGUUGGGGGUUGGAGACUUCUGGUAGAUUUUUGGUAGGCUCUGCUUAUUAUAUGCCAGCAAAAAUGGAGUUCUAUAGCAAUAGUGACAUGAGGUCCGGAGUGAAUUCGUUUUUCAUAGGGCUUGCUUAGCUAAAGCACUAACAGCAUCAUCAAAUUAGCACUUUUUUAUAAUGAUAUAUUGCAUCUACAAAUAAUUAUGUUAAUACAAUUUGAAAAUAAAUGUAAGUAUUCAUUACUUUAGAUGUGACAAUUGAAUCAAAAUCAAAGUUUCUUGUAUACAUAUGAAUCACAAUUCAAGUUUCACGUGAAUAAUUACACCAAGUCAAAAUUUAUGUAUUAAAUUGCACAUUAGACCAAAGCUCAUAUAUAAACUACUUGAUAUUCAUUCCAAAAAUAAUAUUAAAGUUUGGGUUAAAGGGUGGCUAUGAAUCCUCUGUUGGUAAUGCAAAGGGUUGGUGUAACCGCCCAAUUUAGACCCUAAUCGGAACUGUGGUUUUAGGACCACAAAUCCGAGUCAGAAAAAUAUUUUAAAAUUAUUUUCUGUGUUUAUUUUGUGUGAAUUUAUAUUUGUGAAAUUUUCGUGAUUUAAUUUUGUCGUUUAGGUGUCUGAUUAAAUAAAAGGACUUAAUCGCGUAAAUUCAAAAUUUGAUGGUUUUAAGUAUAAGGGUCAAAUUGAUGUUGGCUUAUUGAGUGGGAGACUUUAAGUUGUAAAUAGGCCAUUAUUAAAAUGGGUGAACGGUAAUGGACAAUAAUAAGUGAAAAUAAAAUGUUUAAAACUAAGGUUAAAAAGGUAAAAUAAUGUUAAGUUAUUAUAUAACAUAUAACAUAAAAAUAUAUUAAGUUAUGUUCAUAUAUCAACAUCCACCGAAACCAUAAAUAAGAAAGAAAAAGAAAAAGAACUAGGGUUCGGCCAUUUUGCAAGCUAAAUUCAAGAUCAAGAACAAAGGAAAUCAGACUUGGAUCGGGGAAAAACAAAAAUAGUCGAAUAGCCGAUUUGUAACAUCCGUCGAUAUCCGAGGUAAGUCUUUAAGCAGUUAAACAUGGUUUAUUUUGAACAUAGAAUGAUUUACUAUGAUGAUUCAAAAUUUUUUAAUGUAUUAGUAUGUUAGCCGAAUGAGAAAUAUUGAUGAAUCAAUGUGAUUGAGUUGUAUUUGAAUGACAUCAAAACAUCUGGAAGUGUGUAUGUGUUACAUGGGUUAUUGUACAAUUCGAUAUAUGAAAUGUUGUGGAAUGAGUUUAUAUUUGUGAUAUUCGGGCUUUGAGCCUAGCAAGCCUUGUGCUGGUGACUUUGAUCGGGCUUUGUGCCUAGCAGGCUUAGUGCCGGUGAAUAAAUAUCAGACCUUGGGUCUAGCAGGCUUUGUGCCGGUGUGUGAUUCAGGCUUAUGCCUAGCAGGUUUUAUACCGGUGAUUUAUUUUAAGUCUAUGUCUAUAAGACUUCACAUUGAUGUGGAAAGUGAGCAAGUAAGUUGAUCUAAAUGACUUUUAUAUUUGGCCACAUAAGUAUGUACAUGUGAGGUCAUAUUGAGUUUGUAUAUUCGGCUGCUUGUGAAGUUAUAUUGAACUUGUAUAUUCAAUUUCAUAUGAGGUUAUAUUGAAUUUGUAUAUUCGGCCAUAUGAGAUAUUUUAUUGAACUUGAACAUAGGUUACAUGUGAUGACAAUUUGAACUUAUAUAUUCGGCCAUAUGAGAUAAUAUAAUGAACCUUGUGUAUUUGGCUAUAUAGGUAAGUUUUUAUGAGAUGAUAUAUUGGAUCUUAUAUAUUUUCGAUUAUAUAGGUAAGUAUUUAUGUGGUGUUAUUAUUGACCUUGAACAUUCGACCAAGUUAACUUAUUUGAGUUAAAGUAUAACUUUAAUGGUACGAUUCGACUUGUAUGAAAUGAUUUGAUUAUUUACUUGAGUUGUUUAAAUUGCUUAAGGCUUACUAAGCUAAGUUGGCUUACUCUAUGUGUGUUUUUAUUACUCUGUUUUAUAGAUUUUGGUUGUAAGUUUCAAGCUCAGAGAUCGUGAUCGAAGUCAUCCACACUAUCGUCAACUUUCGGUAUUAUUAAAAGUUUAUUUUGAAACUUAUGGCAUGUAUAGGCUAAUAUGUAUUUUGUUCAACUUUGAAUGUGUAUAUAUAUCGAGCCAUGCGAAUAUGGCUUAUCUUUAAAGUUUGAAUUAUGUUUGGCAAUGGUUUAUCUCAUUUUGAUUUUAAUGUUAUGUGAAAUGAAUGAAAAGUAUAUGUGAUUAGUGUUUUAUGAUUUAGAAAUAGCUUGAAAAUGAUUAUUGGAUUUGGUUGUACUUAAUAAAUUGGUCAUGGUAUGUAUAAAUGUGGUUAGUCAAUUCGGUUAUGGUACAUGUUUGGUUAAUUAUAAAUGUGAAUUCGUAUACUAAGCUUGUUUAACGCAUAUUUUGAAUGACAUGAUAUAGGAUAUGUUUUGUGUUAAUGAAUAGAAUUUAGUUCGGUUUGCAUGUAAGUGUAUAUGUAUUUAAAGUGAUUAAUUGUUUAAUAUAGAUUGUAAGUGAGAAAAAGAUAUCUACCAAAUGAAUAGUGAUUCGAGUAAUAAUGUACUAUGGGAGUUAUAUGAAUUUUUAAUAAGAUGUUAAUUAUAUAUAUUUAUAUACAUGUACAUGUUGUGUAUUCGAUGAAGCUUGACAUAAUGGUUUGGUUUAUAAUGAAAGUAUUUGCGUUUGAAUAUAUUUGCUAAUGAAUAAAUGAUUUGUGAUAAAUAUUAUUCAAUUGAAGAUAUGCGUAUGAUUAUUGGGUUGGAAUUAUGUUUGUUUGAAUGCCAUGGAUAUGGUUUAAAUUUGAGGUAUGAUUCGUAAUGACAAUGUGAUUAAUAGUGCAUGUAUUAUAUUUAAUUAGCCAUGUGCUUAAUAUGUAUGAAUAUGACUUGCAUGAAUAUGUGAAUGUUUGGGAUUAUGUUUUUAUUCAGUAAUGCCUCAUAAUCUUAAUCUGGCGACGGAUACGGGUUAGGGGUGUUACAGUUGGUGUUAGUGGGUAUAUCCCAUAUUGGUUAAAUACAGGCUAUUAAGAGUUUUUUUAUAAUUGUACUUCUUACUCUUAUUGAGAAAUUGGGCCAUAGGCUUAUCACAUUUUUUUUCAAGAGUCUUAUUUUUUCCACAUAGUUACUGUCCGAAAAAUCUAGGAAUUUUUGGUUGUUCGGACGAAGAUAGUGGGGGUAGUUUCAGUGCUUUUUUUUACUUCUUUGCCCCUGCCUUUUUAUUAUUUUCCCCUUAUGUUAACAUUCCUCUCCUCCGCUUUCUGUUUGCGAUUUCUUUAUAAAUUGUCUUUUUUUUUCCUUAAUCACUUUAGAGAAAAUUAUGUCCACGAGUUUGGGUUUUAAGCGGGAUCGACUAUGACCCCUCCAAACUUUCCUACGAAUUGUUCCUACCAUAAUUUCCUGAUAAGAGCAACACUAAUCAAGUUCCAUCUUCCAUAUUCGAGUGUACGAAUAUCGAAGGACUGUGUUAACCUUGGAGGAUGAGAUCCGUUACAUGAUUACACCGAUCAGGGUGAAUUUGUUUCUAAGACGAUAGAUUUACCACGGUGCAAUAAUUUUUUAUUUCAAAUUUCGUUAUUUAUUUUCCAGUAAGUGCUAACAGAUUUGUUUUGCAAUAACUUAUUUCCAACAUCCUCUUGCUCAUUGCCCAAACAGGUCUUAUACAUCACAAUUUACAAACUACGUACACAUUUGAGUUGGCUCGUGGCUCAUAGCUCGUGGUGUUUUGUAAUUUGAUUUGGAAAACAGAGGCCAUUCACGGUGAUCCCACCAUCAACAAAAAUAAGCUGCCCUGUUACAUAUGAAGCCGCCGGUAGGCACAAGAAAGCAACCAUAGCCGACACUUCCUUCGGCUCGCCAGCCCGUCCUAAUGGUGUUCGACUUAUGAUUGCAUUUAUU
rnacentral:lncRNA from 1 species